rnacentral:rRNA from 1 species
AUUGCCUCAGUAACGGCGAGUGAAGCGGCAACAGCUCAAAUUUGAAAUCUGGCUCUUUCAGGGUCCGAGUUGUAAUUUGUAGAGGAUGUUUCGGGUGUGGCUCCGGUCUAAGUUCCUUGGAACAGGACGUCAUAGAGGGUGAGAAUCCCGUAUGUGACUGGUAGCCUAUGCCCAUGUGAAACUCCUUCGACGAGUCGAGUUGUUUGGGAAUGCAGCUCAAAAUGGGUGGUAAAUUUCAUCUAAAGCUAAAUAUUGGCCAGAGACCGAUAGCGCACAAGUAGAGUGAUCGAAAGAUGAAAAGCACUUUGGAAAGAGAGUUAAACAGUACGUGAAAUUGUUGAAAGGGAAGCGCUUGCAACCAGACUUGCAUGUAGCUGAUCAACCGGUGUUCUCACCGGUGCACUCAGUUGCGUUCAGGCCAGCAUCGGUUUCGACGGUUGGAUAAAGGCCUUGGGAAUGUAGCUUCUUUCGGGGAGUGUUAUAGCCCAGGGUGCAAUGCAGCCUGUUGGGACCGAGGACCGCGCUUCGGCUAGGAUGCUGGCGUAAUGGUUGUAAGCGACCCGUCUUGAAACACGGACCAAGGAGUCUAACAUCUAUGCGAGUGUUUGGGUGUCAAACCCAUACGCGUAAUGAAAGUGAACGGAGGUGAGAACCCUUAAGGGUGCAUCAUCGACCGAUCCUGAUGUCUUCGGAUGGAUUUGAGUAAGAGCAUAGCUGUUGGGACCCGAAAGAUGGUGAACUAUGCCUGAAUAGGGUGAAGCCAGAGGAAACUCUGGUGGAGGCUCGCAGCGGUUCUGACGUGCAAAUCGAUCGUCAAAUUUGGGUAUAGGGGCGAAAGACUAAUCGAACCAUCUAGUAGCUGGUC